GUACGGCGGUGAAGCCCUGUGGCGUUCGGGCGGCGUCGAUGCGUCGGUGAGACUUCGCUCUGCGAGUCCUGCUGCAGCUUGCUCUGCGCUCCUUGUCCGGAACGGGAGGAAGCUGAGCCGCAAACACACCUGUGUGUUUCCCUUAUGCGGUGCGGUCAUCGGGCUAACCCAUCGCAUCAACCCAUCGUGCCCAUCGCACCGACCCAUCGUGCUGAUCCGUUGGGUUGACCCACCGGGCUUACAGGGCAUUUAGCAGAAGGCAAACACCCUGAUAACCUUUCCUGGGACGUUUGUGGGAGUCUUCCCAGAGCCAAAAGAAAGGCAAGAGUAUCGCCCUUGGACUGGAGCAAAACCAUCCAAGCCCAUAAAGACAAAGCAAGGCUUCAUUAUCCCAGAUGACCAUUUUGUUCAGGAGACAAGUUACAAGGCAGACUAUAAGCAGAUCCCGGAGGUGAAGACCAGGUUCUCCCCCAAUCCUUCUGCUGUUUUCCAGGCGCCGUCGCGGAUCCUCAACGUGUGACGCAGGGCCUUCCUCGCACCGGGCAGCGGCACGGCGCUGCUUCCGACUGGAUGCGUCACUAUGCAAUUUGCACGAGGAGCGCUGGGAUCAGAGAACCGACGUCAGCAGGAGCGGCUCCAGCGAUCGGGGAUGGGCACUGUCCUUCUGUGAGUGCGCAGAUUGUAAAGCGCUCCAUUCAGAGCCGGCAAAGCACGCGGCAAGGCGUGACCCGGUUCCUUAGGGAGCGGGUUCCUCGCCGUGCCAGCCGGCGGCACGAUGGGAGGCUGACGGGGCAGCACAGCCAGCAAGGCGUGCAGCAACCCUCUGCUCUGCUGUGUGCAGCGGGAGGGAGAAGUCACAAACAGGAGCAAGAACUAAAACCAAACCCCAGAGCAGCGCGGGGCAGGGAGCACCUGCCUGACUUCUCAGCUCGUGGAGCUGCCUCCUGCACACACCUCGGCACCGGACCCCAGCACAAGGAGGGCUGUUCUGAACCCCCGGGGUUGCUGGAACCGCUGGCAGCUCCGCACUGCUGUGCUGGGGGGCUGUGUGUGCAGGGCAGCUGUGUGUGCAGGGCAGUGAGCGCACUGAGCUUCGGUGGGUGUAGAAUACUUGUGGGGUGGAUGUAAAUAUUGCACCUGGAUUUUACCUAAAGCAGUUUGUGAUCCUUUAAGGAAGAGGACGUGCUUCUACUUUUAAUAAAUGUUAACUCUUUGCAUAUGCAAGGUAGAAAGUUUUGCCUUGAAAUGCCUACGUUUCUGCCUGCCUAUUGGUGAUGUUAAUCUUAGUGCUAGGAGCAACCAGAAGUGAAUGUUACUUAGAAACUCUUCUUAAAGAAAAAUGUUAGCAUAGAAUGUAUGACAUCCCUCAUUGCUAAGAUAGGCCGUUUUCAGUGGCAUUACUCUAAAGCUCAUUUUUUUAGGUCAGUGUGGAUCUAGCUUUUGCUGAGAUAUUGGAGGUGUGUUUUAAGAAACCAUCCUUUUUAGCCUCUGUUCAUCCAGACCCCCAUGGUUUUAGUUGCUAUCUCAGAGACUUACUGCAAUAUGACGAGUCUGCUCCUUAGUUCCUGUUUUUACCGAUUAUUUUGGAAAAAAGGAUGCAAAACUUUUCCUUUCUACAUUCAAAAGAUACCAAUACGUUGGCUAAAAUGAAAGGCAACGCCUCAGACAGAAUGAUGAGAAAGGCAUUAAUCUGUGAGCACACGGGCUCAUUACAGGGAUUCUCUCUUCACGUUCCCCCAGCUGAGGCCAAUGGCAGAUUUAAUGAGGUCUGAGGACUCUGCAAACAUGCAACAGGUGCUGGUAACUGAUAAGAAGAGCACUGGAAGCAUUAGAGUGUGGAUGUUACACAGGAUUCAUGCAGAAAGCAUCUUCUCAGUGCAUUAGGUGAGAAUCUGGCUUUCCUGGCAGCAGUGAAAGUGAAGAGGUUGGUGUUGGCCUCUAGCCCUUGUUUUUGGGCCUCAGGAUGUACAGUAACAGCAGUGCUUGCCGAAACCAUUUUUCAGGAGGCUCAUUUUUUCAAGAAAUUGCACUCAAAGCAUUCAAACUCAGCUAAAGGUUUUGCAUGGCACGUUUCUAAGAAGAAGUGAAUCUGCUCGAUUAAUCUCUUUGUAACGUUUUCAACUGUUUUGUUGUUUUGUUCAGUUUUGGUUCAUUUCAAUCUUGGAUUUUAUUAUCAGAAAAAGUAAAAAAAAAAAAAAAAAAAUUGCCUAUCCCAUCUAUCUUGUUAAUUCACCUAUUUCUAAAAACAUCAACCUGGUUGUAAACCAGAAUAUAAUGAGCUUGUAUUUUAUCAAAGGGACUGGAUUUAAUUUAAUAAAUUAAGACAUAUUUUGGCUA